rnacentral:rRNA from 1 species
UAAUACGUAGGUGGCAAGCGUUGUCCGGAUUUACUGGGCGUAAAGCGAGCGCAGGCGGACCGUUAAGUAGGAAGUGAAAGGUCGGAGCUCAACUCCAACAUUGCUUUCUAUACUGGCGGUCUUGAGUCUCGGAGGGGAAAGCGGAACGACACGUGUAGCGGUGAAAUGCGUUGAUAUGUGUCGGAACACCAAUGGCGAAGGCAGCUUUCUGGACGAUGACUGACGCUCAGGCUCGAAAGCCAAGGUAGCGAACAGGAUUAGAUACCCUGGUAGUCUUGGCCCUAAACUAUGAUCACUAGGUGUCGGGGGGUUUCCCUCGGUGCCGCAGCUAACGCAUUAAGUGAUCCGCCUGGGGACUACGGCCGCAAGGUUG